AGCGAACGCUGGCGGCAGGCCUAACACAUGCAAGUCGAACGAACUCUUCGGAGUUAGUGGCGGACGGGUGAGUAACACGUGGGAACGUGCCUUUAGGUUCGGAAUAACUCAGGGAAACUUGUGCUAAUACCGAAUGUGCCCUUCGGGGGAAAGAUUUAUCGCCUUUAGAGCGGCCCGCGUCUGAUUAGCUAGUUGGUGAGGUAAAGGCUCACCAAGGCGACGAUCAGUAGCUGGUCUGAGAGGAUGAUCAGCCACAUUGGGACUGAGACACGGCCCAAACCACUACGGGAGGCAGCAGGGGGGAAUCUUGGGAAAGGGGAGAAAGCCGGACGCAGCCAGGCCGGGUGAAUGAAGAAGGUUUUAGGAUUGAAAAAUUUUUUCACCGGGGAAGAAAAUGACGGUACCCGGAGAAGAAGCCCCGGAUAACUGCGU
rnacentral:rRNA from 1 species